ACAAAGUGUGUUGAUGAUUCGGCCACCUGAGAUUUAAGACGGUUGCUCCGGCUGGAUUGAAAUCUGAAAAAUUUGCAGAAACAAUUUGAUUACCCCAUUUUCAGAAAGCUUUGAAACUUUCUAGGAUAUUUUUUAACAAAAUGGAAAGGAUUAUUAGAUUUGAAAAUUGAGACAGAUAAGUGAUAAUUGCAAUCAUCUAUAAUUAUAUUAUAUGGAAUCAAAAAUGGGGUUAUUAAGAAGUAAAUUAUGGUUUGGGUGUAAUGUAAUAUAGCUCUGUAAGUAAAUAAUGGUGAAAGCUUUUCUGCUCUGUUUGUUGUUUGUUGAUAAUGAAG
rnacentral:lncRNA from 1 species